GCAUAAUUAAACCUCCGAAUAGUCCAGGCCAAGACUAUACUAGUCAAAGCUAACUAUAUCUACAAUUGAUCCAAUAGAUUGAUCAACGGAAAA
rnacentral:rRNA from 1 species